rnacentral:rRNA from 1 species
AAUCUUCCACAAUGGACGAAAGUCUGAUGGAGCAACGCCGCGUGAGCGAAGAAGGUUUUCGGAUCGUAAAGCUCUGUUGCGAGGGAAGAACAAGUACGGGAGUAACUGCCCGUACCUUGACGGUACCUUGGCAGCAAGCCACGGCUAACUACGUGCCAUCCGCCGAGGUAAUACGUAGGUGGCAAGCUUUGUCCGGAAUUAUUGGGCUGAAAGCGCGCGCAGGCGGUCCUUUAAGUCUGAUGUGAAAGCCCACGGCUCAACCGUGGAGGGUCAUUGGAAACUGGAGGACUUGAGUACAGAAGAGGAAAGCGGAAUUCCACGUGUAGCGGUGAAAUGCGUAGAGAUGUGGAGGAACACCAGUGGCGAAGGCGGCUUUCUGGUCUGUAACUGACGCUGAGGCGCGAAAGCGUGGGGAGCAAACA